UAAAGGUGCCCAAACAUCGCGAGCUUACAGUGGUCUCGGACUUCACAAGGCUGCUGGGGUCGUUAUGGAGUCGUUUGUUUAUCAUUUAAAAUAAAAGUAAUACGUGAACGUGGCAGACGGGCUCAAAUAAAAAAAAUAUAUAAAUAUAUUCAAGAAGUUGUAACUACAAAUGUGUUUUCAGUUAUAGUCAAACUCGAAGAGCUUCACUUAUUUGAUGUUAUUAUAAGGACAGAUAGCCGCUAAACUUUGAACUUUACCCCUGGAUGUGAUAACGGCUGCUACAUUUCAGCUAACUUGAUUGGAGGUUGCUGUGGAAAUUCUAUGACAUGACGAAUAAGUGAUGCAGGUAACUUUCCAUUAAUUCAACACAUUUCUUUGUCGUUAAAAAUCAUGGAUAAUAAAAUUGACUGAACGGCAUAAUAACAGGGUUGAGGGAAACUUUUAUUACGAACACUGGUAUAAUUAAAUUGCCAUGUUAUACAUGUACAGCAACUAACCGCUUUACAAAAAAGCAAGUAAUACAAUAUCACAUAUAUUUACACUUGUAUUUAUAUACCUUCCAAUUUUACACAAACAUAUUUACAGGUGACAGAUACAUUGUAUACAGAUGACCAAUGCAAUUAAAAAUGUGGCAAAUGCAUCCGACGAACACGCAUCUUCAAUUAUAUAAAAUAAACCACUUUUUAGUCUGUUUAUGAUGAAUACAUGAGACGGUUUAAUUACAUAUGUGAUUUAAAAGGCUUUAGGGACAUGUCGUGUCAAACCACAGCUGUGGCAGUCAAGACUGUGCCUUCGUUAUUGUUGUCUAUCAAUAUAAGGUCAGUUUUAGAUUGGUAGCAAUGCAAUUCCUAAGAUUCAAAAGUAAUAUUCUGGUUAUUCAGAGCAAUGGAUGCAAAACAAAACCACACAAUUGGGUCAUUUAUGUUCCUUCAUAUUUUAAAUUCGUUAUUAAAAACUCAAUUUAACACAGAUUGAUGCCAGUACGACAUGUAAAGCAGGAAUAAACAUUUCAAGUUUCAUUUUUGAUCGUAACAAAACACUGAGAUCUGAAAUCUUCUGUUGGGACGAUGUUUCACUGUAUGGACGAAUGUUUAUGAAUAGUUUAAUGGUAAAACAAAUCUACAAAUGAAAAAAAAAAACAAUGACAUUGAUUUGGUCCCAAUUUUAAGUAUGAAACAUGAUCCUUGUGUAUUUGGAUGAAAACAUCAAAUUAAAAUAAUGCAUAAAUACUUCAUCCUCAAACAUUUGGCCUGUACCCUUCUUUACAAGUUUCCCUUUAAUAAGCAUUUCAAAGAGAGUCGAUAAGUCAUGUCAUUUGUGUUUGUUGCAAGGUACACUACCAUUUCCUCCUCUACGAUUUGUGGAUCGACAUAAUAAUGAGAACGAUAAUGCAGGAAACAUAUUGCACACAAAAAUCGCCCACUUCAAUUUUGACAGCCACUGUGUUUAAUACACAACAGCAUCUUAAAAGUACAGUUCACCCAAAAAUGAAGAUUAGCUUUUUAUUUAAUCACCCUCAGGUUAUCAAGGAUGUAGGAAAUGUUGUUUUCCCAUUCAGUAGAACAGUAAAGAGGAUUUUUAGCUUUGUUGAUUCAUAAAAUGCAUGUCAACAGCAAUUUAUGAGUCAAAACAAAAACACAUACAGGCAUCAAUACAUUGAGGUCUUAAUAAUGUUAUACAGUUUCCAGGUUCUUGCCUUAAUAUGAGACCUCAAUGUAUCAUUAGGAGCCUUGGGUAUUAAUCGAACUUAAUUUCACCUUUUAGCUAUUGACUUGCAUACUUUAAAUCACAAAAGACGACAAUUUCAACUAAAACUUCUAUAAUGUUUUAAUGGAGAACACAAAGGUGUCACCUACACCUUAGGUGACUGGAGAGUGAAUAAAUGAACAUCAUAUUUUAAUUUCUGGGUGAACUAUCCCUUUUAAAUGGCACAACUGUCUUCAAUUCUACAAUAUACUGAUUAGGUGAGAACGCCAAAGCUAAUGAGAACUGUAUGGAAGAAAUAAUUACUUUAAGGCAUACAGCACUGACAAGACAGAUACAAAAA